rnacentral:rRNA from 1 species
UACGUAGGGUGCAAGCGUUGUCCGGAAUUAUUGGGCGUAAAGAGCUCGUAGGCGGUUUGUCGCGUCUGCUGUGAAAACCCGAGGCUCAACCUCGGGCCGCAGUGGGUACGGGCAGACUAGAGUGGCGGUAGGGGAGAUUGGAAUUGCCUGGUGUAGCGGUGGAAUGCGCAGAUAGUCGAGGAGGAACACCAAUGAAGGCGAA